rnacentral:rRNA from 1 species
GACGAACGCUGGCGGCGUGCCUAAUACAUGCAAGUCGAGCGAACCAAUAAGAAGCUUGCUUUUUGUUGGUUAGCGGCGGACGGGUGAGUAACACGUGGGUAACCUGCCUGUAAGACCGGGAUAACUCCGGGAAACCGGUGCUAAUACCGGAUAGAUUAUCUUUCCGCAUGGAGAGAUAAGGAAAGAUGGCUAUUGCCAUCACUUACAGAUGGGCCCGCGGCGCAUUAGCUAGUUGGUGAGGUAACGGCUCACCAAGGCGACGAUGCGUAGCCGACCUGAGAGGGUGAUCGGCCACACUGGGACUGAGACACGGCCCAGACUCCUACGGGAGGCAGCAGUAGGGAAUCUUCCGCAAUGGACGAAAGUCUGACGGAGCAACGCCGCGUAAGCGAAGAAGGUCUUCGGAUCGUAAAGCUCUGUUGUUAGGGAAGAACAAGUAUCGGAGGAAAUGCCGGUACCUUGACGGUACCUGACGAGAAAGCCACGGCUAACUACGUG